CCUGGUAGCUCAGAUGGUAAAGCAUCUGCCUACAAUGCAGGAGACCUGGGUUCGAUCCCUGGGUCAGGA
rnacentral:tRNA from 1 species